CAAGCGCCGUGCAAAACACCUGAAAGUGUCUCGUGUGUAGUAAGCAAAUAUGCACGUUCAAUUUUAGUGUCUUCCCUUUCAGAAUGAGUUUUUGUAUGUGGAACGCAUUGCAGGAAGGCAGUCUACUCUUGACAGUAUCCAAGGAGUUGGAGAUAUUUGAACUAGUGGUUGCUGCCACAGUGAGGUCUCAUGGCAGUGAGCAGGUCUGGCCAUCCCCUGCCAAAAAAAAAAAAAAAGGAAGAAAAGGAAAAAGAACCAAAUCACCACCUGUGCCACUCCAAAGGAAGAAUCCCUGAUCUUUGGGAAUUCCACCCUCUGCAACAUGGAUGGCAAUACUAGUCUGCAGUGGAGCCUCCUCACUCCUAAGAUCAACUGUGAGUAAGUUACCAGAGUUUCCCAG
rnacentral:lncRNA from 1 species